CCGACGGUGAGGGACGAAAGCUGGGGGCACGAACCGGAUUAGAUACCCGGGUAGUCCCAGCCGUAAACGAUGCUCGCUAGGUGUCAGGCAUGGCGCGACCGUGUCUGGUGCCGCAGGGAAGCCGUGAAGCGAGCCACCUGGGAAGUACGGCCGCAAGGCUGAAACUUAAAGGAAUUGGCGGGGGAGCACAACAACGGGUGGAGCCUGCGGUUUAAUUGGACUCAACGCCGGACAACUCACCGGGGGCGACAGCAAUAUGUAGGCCAAGCUGAAGACUUUGCCUGAAUCGCUGAGAGGAGGUGCAUGGCCGUCGCCAGUUCGUACUG
rnacentral:rRNA from 1 species